UAUCACGUUGAUACACCAGUUCCGCUAUGAUAACGAUAGUUAAGCAACGUCGAGCCAGGCCACUACCUAGAUGGGUGACCGCUUGGGAAUACUAGGUACUGUAAG